UACGUAGGGCGCAAGCGUUGUCCGGAAUUAUUGGGCGUAAAGAGCUCGUAGGCGGCUUGUCGCGUCGGAUGUGAAAGCCCGGGGCUUAACUCCGGGUCUGCAUUCGAUACGGGCAGGCUAGAGUUCGGUAGGGGAGAUCGGAAUUCCUGGUGUAGCGGUGAAAUGCGCAGAUAUCAGGAGGAACACCGAUGGCGAAGGCAGAUCUCUGGGCCGUAACUGACGCUGAGGAGCGAAAGCAUGGGGAGCGAACAGG
rnacentral:rRNA from 1 species